rnacentral:rRNA from 1 species
GGCAGUGAAAAUAGUCUUGCGGGACUAUUAGAGCCAACGGUGAGAUACCACUCUAGUAAAGAUAAAAUUCUAACUCUAUACCGUUAUCCGGAUAGAGAACAGUUUCAAGUGGGCAGUUUGACUGGGGCGGUCGCCUCCUAAAAGGUAACGGAGGCGUGCAAAGGUUCCCUCAGGCUGGUUGGACAUCAGUCGAAGAGUGUAAAGGCAUAAGGGAGCCUGACUGCGAGACCCACAAGUCGAGCAGAGACGAAAGUCGGCCUU